UUUUUUACUCUACCAGUCUGAAUUGGUCUGAAUUAUAUUUGUCAUGAAUCAAACCCACUCUUAACCAGACUCGACUGUGUAUAAUAUGACGUAUUUUUAUGCCCCAUUUAUGGGCAUUAUGUUUUCUGGUCUGUGUGUCCGUCUGUUCGUUCGUCUGUUUGCUGUUCGUCCGUCCGUCUGUCCCGUUUCAAGUUAAAGUUUUAGUUAAAGUUUUGGUUAAAGUUUUUGGUCGAGGUAGUUUACGAUGAAGUUGAAGUCCGAUCAACUUGAAACUUAGUAAACAUGUUCCCUAUGAUAUGAUCGUUCUGAUUUUAAUGCCAAAUUAUGGAUUUUAUCCCAUUUUCACGGCCCACUUAACAUUGAAAAUAAUAGUGCGGAUGGGUCAUUUUUGUACUUGGGACACAUUCUUGUUUUUUCAAAGUUGAUGUUUUUCUGAAACUGUUUUGCAUUUCACAAAUACGGUAUAAUACUUUUACUUUAAAUAUUCAUCCCUUAAUCUUGUUAACUUUGUAUUCACAUUCUAUCAUAGAUCACUUUUAAUCGUUCAGUGUAUGUUAAUCUGUGUUACCACGUUUUUUUGAUUGAGUUAAUCCAUUCCAAUUGAUAUUUUAUAGUGUGUCUUUCUAGCUUGUGAUGUUACACUAUUAUUUCAGAUAAUGGAGACGGUUUGGUACCAUUAAAACGUUUAAUCCCGAUGCAAUUGUUUGCACCUGUACUAAGUCAGGAAUUUGAUGUUCAGAAGUUGUUGAUGUGGUUCAUAAGUGAUUCUCGUUUCUCGUUUUUUUAUAUCGAUUAGGCCGUUGGUUUUCUCGUUUGAAUGGAUUAACUCUAGUAUCUUUGGGGCCCUUUAUAGCUUGCUGUUCGGUGUGAGCCAAAGCUCCGUGUUGAACACCGAACCUUGAAUUAUAAUUAUUUUCUUUUAUUUAUUAUGACUUGGAUGGAGAGUUGUCUCAUUGACACUCAUACCACAUCUUCCAUUCUCGAUCUGUACUCGACCUAUUUUUUCAGUCUAAACCAUACUGGUCGAAAUAAAACUCGACCAGUCUGAACCAUACUUGACCAAAUAACCUCUACUUUUUUAAAUAUUAACUGUUAAAAAGAUUUUCUUUUACCUUAAAAACACACAUAUACUGAGGCAAUUAAACCUUAUUAAGGUGUUUCUUGUUCGGCAUGUGUUUUUUUUAAACUUAAUUUUCCUUAAUUCCUGAAUAAAACUACAGUUUUACAGUUUAGCAGUUUUAAUUAAGACCUCUUCUGAUAAACUUUGGUAAAAUGUGCAUUAGAGGUUCCAUGGAAUAAUGGUUCUCGCCGGCGAUUACUGCUGUCAGUGUAAAAGUGCGUCUAUUUUUCAGUAAAAUACAGAAUUUAAAAAAAAUCACAAAUUUUCAUUGGACAAUCUCUCUUGGUCUUGAAUGUUGGCUACUGUCAAAGUUUCGCAAGGUUACAAAUUCAUUAUAUCAAAAACUUUCAUCCCAGAAUGUCGAAGUCCAUUCUUUCAGAAAAAUACAUUGCUUGAGACAUAGUUUCAGACGACUCUACGAAGGUCUGACGAAGUAUUUGUUGUGGGACAAACUUUAUCCCCAGACUCCAUGUACUUAAAUACCUUUUGAAAAAGUCAAUUUAUCAGCCAACUGAAAAUAUUUUCAGAAUAUGGCUCUGGAUACUGUCUUUUGGUAAUACUAAAAUUUCAUAAAUUUCAACGAAUGUUUGAGUUAUUGAUGACUGAAAAAC
rnacentral:lncRNA from 1 species